rnacentral:tRNA from 2 species
CCCUGGUGAGCUCAGUUGGUAGAGCGCUCCAUUGGAAAUGGAGAGGUCUCGGGUUCGAUACCCGGACCAGGCG